rnacentral:rRNA from 1 species
AAUCAACGCUGGCGGCGUGCCUCAGACAUGCAAGUCGAACGAUUAAAGCUCUCUUCGGAGAGUGUAUAGAGUGGCGCACGGGUGAGUAACACGUAAGUAAUCUACCCUCGAGUGGGGAAUAACGUCCGGAAACGGACGCUAAUACCGCAUAAUGCAGCGGCACCGCAAGGUGACAGUUGUUAAAGGAGAAAUUCGCUUGAGGAGGAGCUUGCGGCAGAUUAGCUUGUUGGUAAGGUAACGGCUUACCAAGGCUACGAUCUGUAACCGGUCUUAGAGGACGGUCGGUCACACUGACACUGAAUAACGGGUCAGACUCCUACGGGAGGCAGCAGUCGGGAAUUUUGGGCAAUGGGCGAAAGCCUGACCCAGCAACGCCGCGUGAAGGAUGAAGUAUUUCAGUAUGUAAACUU